UACAGAGGGUGCAAACGUUGUUCGGAAUUACGGGGCGUAAAGCGAGUGUAGGCGGUGUGGUAAGUCGGAUGUGAAAGCCCCGGGCUCAACCCGGGAAGUGCAUUCGAUACUGCCACGCUAGAGUAUCGGAGAGGUUGGUGGAAUUCUCGGUGUAGAGGUGAAAUUCGUAGAUAUCGAGAGGAACACCAGUGGCGAAGGCGGCUCACUGGCCCGGUACUGACGCUGAGAUGCGAAAGCGUGGGGAGCAAACAGG
rnacentral:rRNA from 1 species